UUGGCUUUUAUUGGAAUGCCUAGAUGCAAUCUAUAGUCAAGUUAUGGAAAAUUCAGGUCACAUAUAAAGUUAAGAAGGCAAAUGAAAAGAACAAUACAAAUCAGACAAAAUUUACAUCUCAAAAUAUCAUGAAAGCAUUUUGACUGGCUUUGCCUAAAAUACUUUGAAUAUCAAUUUCUUUAUUUUUUUCUGUAAGCUAAUUCUUUCCAUUAUACAGUCCCCCACCCCCCAACUCUUAGAAAAAGGUCUUUUGUUUACAUAUUCCCCAAGGUCACUAUUUCUUGUAAAAGCAUGUCCAGAUCACAAGUCUUUUUAGAAAGAAAUAGGCUCAUUAUACCUACUAACAAGACACUAAUUGGGUUGAUUUGACUUCAUCUAAAAUAAGCACCAAGAGAUACUCCCAAUCUGUUACUUAUCGGUGCCAGUGUAGAGGACCAGUCCAUGUCGAGAAGAGGGUAGGAUUAUGAUUUCACUUCCGUCAUGUGGUACAAGCUUUUCAUGGUCAAUACAUCAGAGACAUUUCUGAGAAUUUAGACUCAGAGCCUAUUUCAACCAAAAGUACUUACAGCAUGCUAAAUACAGUCCUGCAGAAAUUCCAUCGAACAGAACUGCAAACACCUAAGUUAACAGUUAAAAAAUAAAAUGUAAAACAGAGCCAUGUUUAUGUGGUUUGAAAUCUCAUAGUUUUCUAAAUCGGGGCUUCAUAAUACUUGCCAAAGGAUUUCCAGGAUAAAAAAUAUUAAUGCUAAUCUGUGCUUUCAUUCUAAUAAAAUAUCAGCAUUCAUUAGAAGAUUAAUUACUUCGGUAUGCUCUACCAAAUACACAAAGACAGUAAUAGCACUGAUACUGUAAAUUCAGUAGCUAUUUUGAAACUUUCCCAGCCAAUCUGUUUAAUAAACACGCCUACUGUGCAAUUUAGAGUAUGUGAUACAUACAAAGCAGUUAGAAAAUUAUUUUCAAUACAUCACUUGAACCUUUAUAUUUACGACAUGUUCACUUGCUAUAUUUUAUCACCAUUAUACAUAGAGGAAAACAGUGUGUACUAUAGCUCAAUGAACUGAGAAAUAUUUUCUAAAAAUAUUUUUGUGGCUGAAUUUAGUGCUCACGAAAGAGAUUUGCAAGAGCGGCUGGGCCGACACAGAAGUGCAGAUGGCUGUGCUCGGUCCCGCUCGCACGCGUGCAGGAGGGCACGGCUGUCAAUUCACUUCCAGCUGGAUCUGCCUCCACCACCCCCCCGGCUUCCCCGAGACGGAGCAGAGGCUGCCAUUCAAACCAGCUCCCAGGACGGUUGGGUCGUGAGGGCUUACAGGAGCUUUUGUCUCCCUUUUGUGUCUCUCUUGGUGACCUGACGGUCCAAACCCAAGACUAGCAGAGUGACCCUGACCUUCUCCAUCUGGCCCUCGCACCGCUGCUCGGUUUCUGCUAUCUUUCCCAGGUCUUAAGACACAUGUUUACGGUCACGACUACAUCAGAUCCUUUCCUUCUCACCAACGUUUCCCGGAGCAUCUGAUGUGGUCUCUCGCCUCCAUCAUGAGACGGAGCUUCAAGGAAUGGUGACAGUAAAAACCCUGUGGUUAGUUCUAUCAACUCCCCUCGACUGCCAGGGACAGGAGAGGACCUCUCCGGCCCAGUUGCUAUUUUAUUUUAUUUUCGUAUCUUCUGCUAUAUUCCACCAGCCUUAGUUUUCUACUGUGCCUCUUAGUCGAUAAUGGUUGAGGACACUGGCCAGAUGAAAAAGAGAAGAAAGAGGAGGGAGCAGUUCUCUGAUUAGCCACCCACUUAGGAUUGCACUGUCCUAUCCAUCUAGUGAUAGAAAGUUGCACGUUUUUUUUUUCAACCUAAUACAAAAAUAUCAACACUUCUGGACAUUAUAGGCAUAAGUCGUUAUAUCUCUACAAUAUAAUAAUUUAUACUGUACAGCUAUAACAGAUAACAAAAGGUGCAAUCCUUUUUAAAAAAAUCACACAGUUCACAUGUUUUUAUCAUUUUAUUUUUAA
rnacentral:lncRNA from 1 species